CCUACGGGUGGCAGCAGUGGGGAAUAUUGGACAAUGGGCGAAAGCCUGAUCCAGCCAUGCCGCGUGUGUGAAGAAGGCCUUCGGGUUGUAAAGCACUUUCAGUGGGGAAGAAAGCCUUGGGGCUAAUACCCUCGAGGAAGGACAUCACCCACAGAAGAAGCACCGGCUAACUCCGUGCCCGCAGCCGCGGUAAUACGGAGGGUGCGAGCGUUAAUCGGAAUUACUGGGCGUAAAGCGCGCAUAGGCGGUCUGAUAAGCCGGUUGUGAAAGCCCCGGGCUCAACCUGGGAACGGCAUCCGGAACUGUCAGGCUAGAGUGCAGGAGAGGAAGGUAGAAUUCCCGGUGUAGCGGUGAAAUGCGUAGAGAUCGGGAGGAAUACCAGUGGCGAAGGCGGCCUUCUGGACUGACACUGACGCUGAGGUGCGAAAGCGUGGGUAGCAAACAGGAUUAGAUACCCCAGUAGUC
rnacentral:rRNA from 1 species